rnacentral:misc_RNA from 1 species
GUAGGUGAACCUGCGGAAGGAUCAUUACCGAGUUCAUGCCCUUACGGGUAGAUCUCCCACCCUUUGUAUACUAUACCUUUGUUGCUUUGGCGGGCCGCCUAGCUACUGGCUUCGGCUGGUAAGUGCCCGCCAGAGGACCCAAAACCCUGAAUUAUUAGUGUCGUCUGAGCAAAAGUUAAUAUUUAAAACUUUCAACAACGGAUCUCUUGGCUCUGGCAUCGAUGAAGAACGCAGCAUCUGCUGACUGGCA